GCAACUGGGAGUCUCCCUCCCAGCUCGCUAGUGGGCUCUGGGUGUACCCCAGGCCUGCCCCUAGCUCUCCACCUCUUUUAGAAAGAUCUGGUCACGACCUUUUUUUUUGCACCUAAAACCCAGCUGAGGUUAUAAGCUAAAGCAAGUUCCAUAUCAGUUAGAAGCUCUGGGGGUGUUUGAGGUUAAGAUCCCAGGAGGCCCUCCCCCUCCUUGCCCUGACAUGUAUGGAAAACAGGUGGGACUUAUUGUUGAAUUGGGGUCUCCUAUCUAGGGGUCAAGGCUUUAACUCAUUUAAUAUUUUUAUUCCAGACCCAUUACCCUGAGGACCUCUGCUUUAAAGAGGACACGGGAGGAAUUCCUGCUGAGGGGGAGCCAAUUGGGAACAAAUUAUGAGGCUAUUUCAGGAGCCUCCAACUCCGGGUCUCCACCUUGCAAGGACAGUGGGCAGAUAAACAGGAGGACCGGCUGCAGACUACGGCUUGGCUUCUUCACCCGCUGCCAUCUCCCCGAGUGGCCCCCACCCUGUGUGAAAGUUGUUCCAGGGGGACCACUCAGCUUCCAGUCCUCUCUAUGCCACCAUCUUGCCCGAGUCCUGGAUUGGCUUUUAUAGAGGGGGUUUCCUUGGGUACCAAGUUUCAAUUUAAGC